UUUACUGACCUCUUCCGGCUUUUUUUCCGUCGAGACUUUUUUUCUUCUAUAUAUUUAUUGCGUUUUUAUUUUAUUUUAUUUUUUAUAGGCUUAAUUGAUCUUUAUAAAUUUCUAUAUGUUUGUACCAAGGACAAUCGUUUUGCUUGUCUAAUGUUAUGUGGAAAGAUGACACUUCUUAUUGCCACGAAUUCAAUUUUGCUUAGUUUACUAAUCACAUUUUUUCAAUUGCCAGAGUUAGGAAUCCAGAGUGGAGGUCGCCGCUAGCGGCUCUAAUAUCUAAUCUCCAUCUUCCAAUGCGCAGUUUGGAGGUUAAAAAUAGAGAAUUGUUGCCAUAGAUGGUUAUUUGUGCCCGUUUGCAGGACAUCGGCAGAGGAUAUAAAAUCUCUUAGAUUGAUAACAGCAAUCAAAACUGCAUACCUACCUGGUAGAUUUGAUCUAGAAGCAUAUGAUGAUUCUGCAAUUUUUGUGCUGUUUUUGGCAGGUAAAUCAGAGAAGAAACCACAUUGCAGUUCUGUUUCAAGGUUCUGAGAGACUUGGCUUGGGAAUUUUGGGCUUGCUCGUUCGUUUCCUAGUUAAUUUUGGCUAUAGCUUGGCAACGUAUUCAAAGUGAAAGCCAAGAAGUUUUGUCUUAUAAGUUGGAGUCCUUCCCAUUCAGUGCAGUUGUAUUCAAUUUGCAAAACAUUCUAAAUUUAUAACAAUUUACGCUGUCAAAUUUCAACAGUUCUAAGUUAAUUAAUGCAUGAUCUUUUUCUCAUUA